CCACACGGCUCAAAUCCAGCUUUCAGCAUGGUUGGGGAAAAAAGGCGACGAACAGAAUGUUAUCCUAGAGAACACACUCCUCAGAUGAAAUGGAAGCAAGGAUGACUCAGAGUGUCUCCAUCUUGCUGGUGACUCACAUGAUGGUCUGUUUAUGGCUAAGUGCUUCUCCCAGGAAGCUGACAGCCCUGUCCUCCUACCUGAGUCACGAGCCCUGUGGUGCUCCCACCAAGGCAAAAUUACCACCAAGACCAAAAGAGGAGGGAGAAGCCAUUCCCUGCCUCUCUCCUGCUACCUCUGGUGGAAGAGAAGAAACAGUUUAGAUCCAAGGCGGCGGCGGCUGCUGCUGCUAGCAUUGCUUGCAAGAACUGGUUAAAGUUCCUGGCCUCAAUUAAAACCUAUCUGCUCCAGAAUCUGAUCCUGAAGGUAAGAGAGAGGUGUCCCUUGGGGAUUUUCCUCUCUCGUCAGUCACCUGCAAAGAUGGCUGCCGUGGCUUCCUGCUACUUCUCGUUGCUUAUUUGUUACAUUAUGGCUUGUGUUUCCCCCAAAAAUGAUAUGUUGGAGUCCUAUGUAUAUUAUUUGGAAAUGUAUAUGUGUAUAUUUUUGAGGCAGGGUCUCUCUACAUAACCCUGGAUGUCCCGGACAUCAGUAGGUAGACCAGGCUGUCCUCAAACUCCCAGAGAGCCACCUGUCUCUGCCUCCCUCCUGGGUUUUGAGAUUAAAGGUGUGCACCACUCCACCCUACUUUUUACAGACGUAAUCAAGGUGAAAUGAAGUUGCUUUGCUCAUUUUUAGAUGACAGCUAAGACCAAGGAAAUGCAUCUAGAAGUAAUGAAAUGGCAAAGAUUGCCUGCGCCUUCUAGAAGCCGGAGAGAAGUGUUGGUAUAAUGUUAUUGGGCACUGUGUAACGAUUAUCCUUGUGCUAUUCAAAUGCUCAUUUCUUUGUCCUGAUAGCUGGUUGCAAUCCAGACAUGGCAUUGUCUCAAGUUUGUGUAAACAUUGCUCCCCAUUUAUUCUCUGAUUUGUCAAUAAAACUGAUUAGCUGAGAUAGGACUGGACUUCC
rnacentral:lncRNA from 1 species